GUCCACGCUGUAAACGAUGAGUGCUAGAUGUUGUGGGUAUUGACCCCCGCAGUGUCAAAGCUAACGCGUUAAGCACUCCGCCUGGGGAGUACGGUCGCAAGAUUAAAACUCAAAGGAAUUGACGGGGGCCCGCACAAGCAGUGGAGCAUGUGGUUUAAUUUGACGCAACGCGCAGAACCUUACCUGGGUUUGAACUGCUAAAGACCGGCGCAGAAAUGCGCUUUCCCUUCGGGGCUUUAGUGGAGGUGCUGCAUGGCUGUCGU
rnacentral:rRNA from 1 species